rnacentral:rRNA from 1 species
UACGUAGGGACCAAGCGUUGUCCGGAUUUACUGGGCGUAAAGAGCGCGCAGGCGGUCGUUCAAGUCGCGUGUGAAAGCCCCCGGCUCAACUGGGGAGGGUCACGCGAUACUGAUCGACUCGAAGGCAGGAGAGGGUAGUGGAAUUCCCGGUGUAGUGGUGAAAUGCGUAGAUAUCGGGAGGAACACCAGUGGCGAAGGCGACUACCUGGCCUGUUCUUGACGCUGAGGCGCGAAAGCUAGGGGAGCAAACGGG